rnacentral:rRNA from 1 species
AUCAGCCGCGGUAAUUCCAGCUCCAAUAGCGUAUAUUAAAGUUGUUGCAGUUAAAAAGCUCGUAGUUGAAUUUCGGGGCCAAUAUGUCGGUCGUGCCUCGGUACGUACUGGCAUCGUUGGUUUCUCCCUUCUGACGAACCAUGAUGUCAUUUAUUUGGUGUCGUGGGGAAUCAGGACUGUUACUUUGAAAAAAUUAGAGUGUUUAAAGCAGGCUCACGCUUGAAUACAUUAGCAUGGAAUAAUGAAAUAGGACGUUUGAUUCUAUUUUGUUGGUUUCUAGGAUCGACGUAAUGAUUAAUAGGGAUAGUUGGGGGCAUUAGUAUUCAAUUGUCAGAGGUGAAAUUCUUGGAUUUAUUGAAGACUAACUACUGCGAAAGCAUUUGCCAAGGAUGUUUUCAUUAAUCAAGAACGAAAGUUAGGGGAUCGAAGACGAUCAGAUACCGUCGUAGUCUUAACCAUAAACUAUGCCGACUAGGGAUCGGAUGAUGU